AUUAUUGUUAUUAUUAUUAAUUUAUAAUAUAUUGUAUGUCAAAACAAUCAUGCCAAUAAAGUACUUUAAAUAGAAAAUGUAAUACUUCCGCCAGCUUUGAUCAUGAUGUUGACAGAAACAAAAACAUGCUGCUGGGUGGGUUAAACGUGUUUGCGGGAUAUUUCACAUAUAAAUAUGGAGCAGUACAAUGUAUCUUCUCAUUAAUGUUAUCCCAAUUGAUUCUAUAAAUAUGUUCUUAUAAACAACGUCAAAACAUGAGCAUUUAACUUUUUUACGAGCUGUUUGUUCUUCAGUGUUCACGGUGUUUUCGUUGAUACUGAUGAAACAUUUACAUAUAUCUUAAUAUGCUCUUCGACUAGUGUUAUUUACAAACACUAUUCUUCACUUUAUAUUUACAACAUUGCAACAUAUCAGAUGGUCAAUGUGCUUGCGUAACAAGGAGGUAGCACAUGUCACGUAAAGACGUGACCUAACCAAUCAUCAUUUGUCUGAACCAGAAGGAUCAACGUAAACAGGACCUCGAAACAAUCUGUCUUCAAACUACUGCUUUCUGCGCGGUGGUUACAAACUUAGGCUUCUUGUUUUAUUUGAACACUUUAAUGCGUAUUGUUGUAUAUAAUUGAUAUCAUUAGUUUCAUUAUAUGGAAUGAAAAGAAUAUGGACUUAUCUAAGGUCAAACGUGAAGUUAGCAUGCAUUUAAUCAUAUUCAUGACAUGAAAACGCUGGACAGGUUUCAUUGGUCGACUCCUUUCAUAAGCCAGUACUGGGCACUGCAUGUGAAAGCUAGUGUUUAUGAAAAACAGAUAGUAGCUGGAUGUAAUAAAAUAUCGAUAUAGCGAUUAUUGAUCGGCACGUUAUUUUAUCGAUACAUUUUUGAGGCACCUGAUUGUGUAACGCGGAAGUAAACCGCGGCUGCAUUUCCGGUGAAUGUGUAAAAGUUCAGCUGUUGUUGACCUCGGUGUAAAUAAAUAGAAUAAUAAUAAUAAUACCAGAGUUUAGUGAUAUAAGUUUAUAAAAUAUCACAAAACCACAGGAUGUACAGCAGAAUGAUGGCCUUAUGUCGGAUCAUAUUCUAACUUCAGCAUUUAUAUUAAAAGAGUAAGUAAAUCACUCAUUUGUUGCUGUGUGUUGUAUUGAAGAGACGAUGAUAAAAUCUGCUUCUUAUUUUACAGAGAUCGUGAUGAUGCAGUGUUUCUUGUCUCCAUUUAAACCUCCAUUUAUAUGUACCUGCAUAACCUCCAAUGAUGCCUUUAUUUAUUUAUUUCCAAAGGUUUCAUAUGCUGAAUGUGACAUCUGUGUGUCUGUUUACUAUACACCGCUAAAAGAGAGUAAAAUGCGUUUAUUAUUUAUUAUAAAGAUGAAACAGUAUGCAGUUUUGGUACAAACAAAUUUGAAGCAGCAUACAGGUGGAUAUAACAAGUCUAAUUUCUUUCAAUUAAAUUAAUUUCUUAUUUCUCUACCCCACAAUUUUAAAAUAAUAAGAAAAUAUUUUAAAAUAUUUCCAGCGAAAUAAAUGACAAAAGUUUUUAAAGUUAUCCACAAAUAUAAUGAAGUUGCAAUGACGAGCAGCACUACUUAUUGGGAAACAAGGCCCAGGAUGAUAAUUUCUUUGUGGUAAAAUUGCUCAAAUGUUGGUUGGGACAUUUCCGAUAUUCUGGAAGUUGCAUCCCUACCUAAAUCUACCUCUAUGUCGUGUCGAUAUAGGGACAAUAGUUAUAGGGCAAAAUUUGUCAACUUAGGCAAAUAGAGGGAGCAGAUUGUAUUUUUUAUUUAAAAAAAACAAAAACAAAAUUAAGAUAAUACUUAUUCAAAAUAACCACUUCAGAAAAGGGUUAACCAUUCUCUUUUAAUUUCAAUCACAUUUGGCAUUUCAUAGCAUCUCAAGUAUUCUAUAAACAAAUUAAUCUCCAUUGUGAUUGGAUCACUCAGUGUGAGCUCACUUUGAAAUGUUUUCAAAAAUCUGUUCCUCCCACUAAACAAACAAAUAAAAAAAAUAAAAAAUAAAAAAAAUAAAAAAGCGUGUUUUAUGGGGGCCUUUUGCCCUGUCAACAGGGCUGCUUUUUACCCCAGAUACUAUCCUUUCACUUAUUGGACAGUUAUUUAAAAAAAAAAAAAAAAAAAAAAAACUUUUGAGUUAAUCACCUUGAACAAAACUGAAAAUGACAAAUGAGUAUUUUGGCUCACAAUAAAUUUGAUUAUUUUAGGGAUUUAGCCCCAUUGUACCCUAAAUGGGUGAUGAAAUUUGUCUAUGGCAGAAAUAGUUUAGCACAUGGCGGGAAGCACAAAGUGUCCUGCUCUUUUCAACUCCUCUCCCAACUGCAACCGGCAAAUCUUGCCGAUCGGUAGAGCAAGGCGCAGAUCAAGUUGAUAUCACUUGUUGAUCUUUGAUUUGGAAGCAGCCAUCAAGGCUUUGUGCAUGCUUGUAACUGUCCUCUUCUUACAGAAACAAGUGUGACUUGCCAAGGUGGAUACAGUUACUUAAACUGUGAAGAUGGUUGAAUUAAGAUAAAUACUGCAAACUUUGGACGUACUGACAAAAUCACCUGCUCUGAAGGGCGUCAGUUUAAUCAGACCCAGAACACCUGCUGUUAUUCUCCAAAUGUCUCCUUUAUCUCAAAGGUGGUUAAGAUAAAUGUGCUUUUUUUUUUGUCAUUUAUAUAUUUAUGUUCAUGCUCUUUUUUAACUGUUAGCAGCUCUUCUGUCUGAAACUAUUUUCUACUGUACCCCAUUAUCUUUAGCAACCUCCCUCACAAUCCAUGCUGUCCAGCAGAAAGAGGACUUAUUAAUACAUAAUUUUGGGUUCAGCCAUAUGCUCAAAGCAACAUUUAAAUAAAUGUCCGAAUUAAACACUCUGGACACUUUUGUCCAUACCGAGUGCAAAUGCGAGAUAACUGGGUGUAACUUAACUUCUCCGGAUAGUUUGAUAAAAAUCUUAUUCUUGAUGAGAAUGUUUGUAUUGUUUUUCUGUAAAAAUAUCUAAAAAUCCUUAAAACAAGAUCAGUUUGAUUUAUCUUAUUUUAGAAACAACACUGCAUAAGAUAUUCAGGUUUUUCAGAGAAUGCAUUUUUAACAUGUGUAUUUUGUCUUACUGUACUGGCAGAGUUUUUAUAGUCAAAACAAGUGAAAAAAUCUACCAGUGCUGAAGAAAUAAUCCAAAGUAUUUAGAAUACGUUACUGACCUUGAGUAAUCUAACGGAAUAUGUUACAAAUUACAUUUUACAGCAUGUAUUCUGUAAUCUGUAGUGGAAUACAUUUUAAAAGUUACCCUCCCAACCCUGGCUAUAACACUAUAAAAAGACUCCAUUGUAUCAUCAUUCUACACUUCACAAUGCACAUAACUCAUUUUAAAAUGCUAAGAUGCAUCACAUGAUGCCUAACUGUGGUUAGAAUCAUAUAAUGCAUUCUUCUGACCUCAUGCAUACAUGAUGCUCAAUUAUACAAUGUAGAACAAUAUAUAUUCAAAAGUUAAUGUGUAGUAAAGUAACCAUAAACAGAAAGUAUGUCAUGUUUUAUGUGUAAAUGCUUGCCUGUUUAUGUAGAGAAUGUUGAUGUUAACAGAUGUCAUGUCUCUUGCACCGAUUUCAUUAUAUAAAAGUCAGGAUAAAAGUAUGUUAACUUUUCAGUGGGAAAACUAACAAACCUUAAGAACAAAGACUCAUUAAUCAUAUUCCAGAAGAAGGGACAGAGAGAUGAUCACAUGGUAUCUGAAAUGCCGCCUCUGAUUGGCUUAGAGCGUCUUCGGGGUGUGAACAGGAAGGGUUAAAAAGGACCAGCCUCUUCCCCCUCGUAAAGUUCUCUUCUCUGCGCUAUGACUUACACACGUGAUGGAGAGUCGCGAGUCUCCCUUGUGGGAGGCCUCGCUUCAAAGCCCCACCUGAUCAUUCCAGCACCGAACUAUACGACGUCCAAAAACAUAGACGGGAACAACCAGAAAUUUCUACGAACCCAGCCAAAGAACCAACACAACAAAACGCAAGCCCAGACAGUGUCUCACCUGGCUGUCUGAAAGUCUGCACUGACCAGCUGGCCCCCAUCUUCACACAGAUCUUCAAUAGAUCGCUGGAGCAGUGUGAAGUUCCCUGCUGCUUCAAACACUUCACCAUCAUUCCGGUCCCCAAAAAACUAAAAUCACAGGACUUAAUGACUACAGACCUGCUCUCAUGUCUGUGGUCAUUAAGUCAUUUGAGAGACUGGUUUUGGCCUAUCUGAAGGACAUAACUGGACCCCUGCUAGACCCCCUUAAGUUUGCUUACUGAGCAAACAGGUCUGUAGAUGAUGUCAACGUGGGACUGCAUUAUAUCUUGCAACACCUCGACAGACCUGGGACAUAUGCAAGGAUCCUAUUUGUGGACUUCGGUUCAGCCUUCAAUACCAUCAUGCCUGUUCUUCUCUCAACCAAACUGACCCAGCUCUCCAUGCCAACCACAAUCUGUCGGUGGAUCAACAGCUUUCUGAGAGACUAAUGAGACUGGAGAAAAUCAUAUCCAAGACCCUCACUAUUAGCACUGGUGCUUCUCAGGGAUGCAUUCUCUCUCCACUGCUCUUCUCCCUGUACACAAAUGAUUGCACUGCAAAGGACCCCUCUGUCAAUCUCCUGAAGUUUGCAGACAACACCACGGUCAUUGGCCUCAUCCGCAAUGGUGGUGAGUCUGCAUACAGACUGGAGGUUGUACAGCUGGCUGUCUGGUGCGGUCACAUCAACCUUUAGCUGAACACGCUCAAAACAGUGGAGAUGAUAGUAAUAGCAUUUUAUUUUUUUAUUAUUUUUGUAUGUCUAUUUAUACUCUUACCUUGUUUAUAUUCUUUGUCUCACUGUAAUGGUCUGUGUGCACUUGCACACAGAACAUUAUCACCAAAAAACAUUCCUUGGCAAUAAAGCUCAUUCUGAUUCUGAUUCUAACUGUUAUCUGGGAGCCGAGCUAAAUAAGCAAGCACUGUUAUUGAAUUCCUGAUAUAAAUCAGACCCUCAAUCACACCUCAGAGGACAAACACACAAAUGACCUGUACCAUUCAUAAAUUAUAACCUGAAUAAAUGCAGAUGAUUAAAACACUUUGAUUACCUUUUGAUUAAAACAAUCGCUAGUACAUGUAUUCAACUCCUCAAUAGGCUAAAGAGACUGGGGUUAACCCACUCUUUCACUUGAAGUACAUUAUUGAAUGUUACAAGCACAGCGCAACACAUAAUUUAAAGCUCAAAGUUUGUAGUAAAACCAGUCUUCCCUGCUGAAAAAUAAAAAUAAAAUACAGUAUUGGAUAAAGGAAUAUCCCUUGUUCAUUACAAGUUUAACUCAUAAACUGACAUGUUGUUUCAUAAUAUUGAUUACCACAAAGCUUAAAAAAAAAGUCACAGUUACAGUGAGGUAGUUACAGUCAGGCACUUACAAUGGAAGUAAAUGGGGCCUGUCCACAAAAAUUAAAAUACACAGUGUUUUAAAAAUUAACCACAAGAUGUAAACAUUAUAUAUGACUAACCCUUUCAGGAUAUUAGUGUGAUAAAAUCGCUUAUCUGUGUAAAGUAAAUCCAAUAUUACAAUAUUCCGGUAAACACUAUAAGCAAUUUCAUCACACUAAAUUCAUGUUAACAUACAGUAUAGAAUGUUUGCAUCAUGUGGCUGUACUUUUGAAACAAUGUGUAUUUUAAUGUUUGUUUUUUUACUAGCCCCAUUCACUUCCUUUGUAAGUGCCUUACUGUAACCGCAAUGUUUAAAUAUACAAGGGAUGAGUUGAAAAUAUUUUUUAUGGUAAUCAAUUUUUUGCCACAAAUGCUGUCGAUUGAGUGUCACUUGAAAUAAACCCAGAAUAUUCCUCUAAAACAAGCAUAAGCUGGUUAGCUGGUCAUAGCAAGUUUUAGCUGGUCUCUCAGCCUAGUAUUCAGUUGGUUUUAGAAUGGAUGCCAGCUGGUCUUCCACUCUGACCAGACCACAUUAAAAGUGCCCAAAACCCCCAAUAAAACAAGCCAACUGAACAGCUAUCCAGUGCUUUUUCUCUCCUGUGUGCCAGCAAAAACCCUGCAUCAACCACAGUUACCACCUUUUAAAAAACAUACUCCCAGUGUAUACACAGCAAACACACACACACACACAAAAACAUAUUACAAAUUUUUCUAUCAUAAAAAUUACUAUAAAACAUCUCUGUUUUCUGUAGGUUCCAUUGUAAUUUGUGGACAUCAGGAAAAUACACUGAUAUGUGAUGUGAAGGUAAAGAUAGCUGCUCCAUACAAGCCUCCAAUGAUGUCUUCUAGGAUCCAUGUUGUACAUCACAUAUUCCUGUGUCUGUCUGUUACUGUUAAAGAAUGAUGAAAUUGAAUACAGCAGCUGAUCAUCUGGAUUUCGGCCUCUUCAAUUCUGUAUCAGCCUCUUCACUUCUGUGCUCAGUGACUGGUCACAUGGAAUUAUAAGAUGAAUCUCAAUAUUUUGCUUAAAUGUAAAUAUAUCUAAAAAGCCACAGAAGCAGCAUUAAAGCAUUUAAUAAUGGCUUGGUUUAUACAUUUAAUUGGGAUUUCCCCCCAUUUUGUCCACUGCAAUAAAUUCUUUGAAAAUAUUUUUGGUGGUUUUAUUUAUGGUAUUUUAUGUUCAAUAUGUAAAACAGCCAUUGGUUUUUGAACAUGUUAAAACAAGUACACUUUAUAUAAUUCAGGGCUUUGUUUGCUAGAGAGAACUUAAAAAGCUAGAUUUUCUCAUUCAUGAUGAGACUAACAUUGAAAUAAAAAAUUUAAAAUUCCCUAAUUUACCCCAAUUUCAGUUUAAAAUGAUUACUGCUCAUGAGUAAGAACAUGACAUUCAUCAAAAAAAAAAAAAAAAAAAAAAAUACUAAAGUAUAAAACACCAAACAAAUAAACCAAAUAAGCAGAGAAC